rnacentral:rRNA from 1 species
GCUCAGUAACACGUGGAUAACCUACCCUUAGGACCGGGAUAACCUUGGGAAACUGAGGAUAAUACUGGAUAGGCAAUUAUUCCUGCAAUGGUUUUUUGUUUAAAUGUUUUUUCGCCUAAGGAUGGGUCUGCGGCCGAUUAGGUAGUUGGUUAGGUAAUGGCUUACCAAGCCGUUGAUCGGUACGGGUUGUGAGAGCAAGAGCCCGGAGAUGGAACCUGAAACAAGGUUCCAGGCCCUACGGGGUGCAGCAGGCGCGAAACCUCCGCAAUGUGAGAAAUCGCGACGGAGGGAUCCCAAAUGCCAUUCUUAACGGGAUGGCUUUUCA